rnacentral:tRNA from 1 species
GGGGCUAUGGCGCAGCUGGGAGCGCGCUUGAAUGGCAUUCAAGAGGUCGGGGGUUCGAUCCCCCCUAGCUCCA